rnacentral:rRNA from 1 species
AACGAACGCUGGCGGCAGGCUUAACACAUGCAAGUCGAACGGUUGUAGCAAUACAGCAGUGGCAGACGGGUGAGUAACACGUGGGAACCUUCCUAGGGGUACGGAACAACUCAGGGAAACUUGAGCUAAUACCGUAUACGUCCGUGAGGAGAAAGAUUUAUCGCCCUUAGACGGGCCCGCGUCGGAUUAGCUAGUUGGUGGGGUAACGGCCUACCAAGGCGACGAUCCGUAGCUGAUCUUAGAGGAUGAUCAGCCACACUGGGACUGAGACACGGCCCAGACUCCUACGGGAGGCAGCAGUGGGGAAUCUUGGACAAUGGGCGCAAGCCUGAUCCAGCCAUUCCGCGUGCAGGAUGAAGGCCUUCGGGUUGUAAACUGCUUUUGUUACGGAACGAAACGGCGAGCUCUAAUACAGUUUGCUAAUGACGGUACCGUAAGAAUAAAGCACCGGCUAACUAACGUG